AGUGUCUCUUUCAGUCUAGUUUUUGGUUCUUUUUUCCCUUUAGCUCCCCUUUUUGGGUAGGGGACGUGGGGUGAAGAUGUCUUUUUAUUUUCAAGAAAAGAUUCUUUAUAAAUACCGCUGUGACAAAUUCAUUUCACAGCACAGAAGCAAUCAGCAUGAUGCCAAAGUCUGGCAGGGAACUGAAGGGUCAAACCAGCACUCUUCCCAAAGAUCAAUGGGAGGAACUUCUGAACGACAAGACUCUUAACUGGCUCUAUACACCACCAAAAGAAAAUAAAAGAUCAAAUGGUGCCUGAGUACUGCCAGUGUUUUAUGUGGUGCGACAGAGGAAAACCAGGCAGUGGUCAGACAGCACCUCUAGAGAGCCUGAGCUUCUGCAUCCCACUUUGUUAGUCACAAGCUUCAUCAAGACGAAAAGCAGCUUGGUAAAGUUGCUGUCAGAUGAGAGAGCAAUAUGAAUAGAAAUAAUGAAAUUCCUUGGAUAAUUUGUCUCCUUUGUGAGCACCCUGUGUCUUCAAAAGGCCACAUCAGAUACUUUCUGCAUCUGAAGCACAUUUUGCCUUUGGAGGUGAAACUGGUUAUUGACAGCAGAAUAUCCACACAAACGCCUUUGGCAACAUACACAAGGGAUGGAGCCUUGGGGUACAGGGAUAACCUGUGUGGGAAUGUGGAAAAGGCACCAUCUGCCAUUACUGGUGAGUUCUGACCUCUCUGCAACAAAGACCCCACACCCAGUGGGGAGCCUGUGAGUGUCAGUAUCUAAAGCAGCAGAGAGGGUAAACACAAAAGAGAUCAAUGUCAGAAUUCACUGGGCCUUGAGCCUUGUGAACACACACAACAGGUUUUCUGGUUUGUUUUUUUUUUUUCCAAACACACCUGACCUUGUAAUACCCCAUUGAAGAAAAUGUGCCCAAAGGCAGCAGGUUCAUGGGGCCACAUCUGCAACACAAGUUUGCGCACACACCUUCAGGUACUGCCCAGAGGGCAAAGAGGCUGCAGAGAGUUAGGGAGCUAUUUAAGUACCCUGCUUACGUAAGGAGCUCUGGAGACCUCAGAAACUUGACAUUCUUAAAUCUUUCCUUGUUCAAGGAACAUUAUGUUCUACCUCUCACCCAUCAGCUUGUGCACAGCUUUGUGGGUUUAUAGUGCAGCGGUUGAGCUCUGCUUAGGUUUGAGCCUCUAAUUUAUGCUGCUGCCGUGUCACGGAAGGAGGAAAAUGUUCUCCCACAGAUAGGUGGUCAUGGACAAAUAGAAAACAAUUCAGAAAUCACUGCAUUACAUUAUUGAAAAACAAAAAGAAAAAAGCAUUACUAAAAUUUGUAUUAAAAACCACUCACCACUGUUUCAUACCCACAGACAUACAGAAAAGUUCCUUUGGUUGUGGCUAAAGUUUUCCAAAUUAAUUGCAACACAAAUUCAGACUAAUUUUUUUACUUCUGUGUUCUAAAUCAAAUAAUUUUAUCUAUACAAAUUUUAUUAUUCUGAGAAAGCUUUCUUAAGGAAAGAGCAUUCAAGGAUUUCUGAGCCAAUCUGAAGCAGUCCCCCCCUGUCCAAACAGUCUUUUACACACACUAAAUUUUCCACUCACUGUAUGGAUACACAAGCAUGACACUUUUUAUUUGUCAUUAUUUUGUGUUCUUAUUAAUAAAGUCACCCUGAUCUGUUCAUACUGCAUGGAAUGGACAGCUUUUCCUCAAGGUACCUGAUCAGCCAUGUAAAUGAGUAUCCCAUUGCAGCACAGCAGCCGAGUCAGCCAUAAAAUACCAUUGCAUGGUGCAAAGCUCAUCCCUGUCAAGUUAGCAUCUAUUUGAUACACCUCAUAAACACAAAAAAUUACUCUUUCAAAUAGGCUGUUUGUUUGGGUUUGUAUUGUUUUGAUGUUGUUUUUUGUUUGUUUGUUUUUUUAAGCUUAUUAUCUAUGGUAUCCAAUUUACCUGACAAGGUUUUGUUGUAGGGGGGACGACUGUAAGGGUGACCUCUGAAAGAAGGGACCUGUGUUGAGCAGAGCCAGUGUCAGCCAGCUCUAAAACAGAUCCACCACUGAAAAAGGCUGAGGUUUUUUUCCCCCUCCCUCCUGCCCUUCCCUCCUUUCUUCCUCCCUUGCUUCCUUAUGAGCAAGGUCUCUCUCUGUCUUUCUCCUGCAUUCACCUACAUAAUUUCCUCAUAAAAAGUUCUGGGCAAGAGAUGGUAAAUGCGCAGCUCACACCAGCUAUCAAAGUUGCAUCUCUGUCUAGCUAGAGGAUUUAGAUGCAUCUUCCCCUCAGUCUGACAAACCCCUCACAUCUGCUUCUUUGCAGACAUGCUUCACACACAUGACACAGGCUGCAGGAAUGCCAUCUAAUGGGAUUAUUUCAAAAGUUUUACCAAACUUUAAUCAAGGAAUAACACAAUCAUAUUAUUACAGAACAGUUCUUCCCUUUCUCUAGCCCCAUCUUGCUGUUUUAAUCAGUCCAACUGAGCUCUGUGAGACACCUGCUAAACUGUCGAAGCUUAUUUCUCACUUUCCAUCCUUACCUGAUGAUAAAAAAUAUCAAACAAAACCAAAAGAACCCUCUUCAAAUUUAAGUGGUUUUUUUUUAAUAGCAAUAAUAAAAACCCCACAUUUUUAUAAAGAAGGCAAAGACCCUCAUUAUUGCUUUAUAUUUCUCUGCUACAAUUUGUUUUGUGAAAUGUUGCAUUUUCCAUCACUUCACUGAGAAAAUUAAGUUAUCACUGUUGGAAAACAAUGGCAUAAGGAACUUACUGAGGUGUGAUAAACUAGUUUUUCAGUAUCAGUGAAAUUCAAGGACAUCCAUACAUAUCAGAGGAAGAGGAAAGCUUUCUGUCCAUAAGAUUUUCUGAAUAUUUGCUGAUAAAAUGAAAACAGCUAUUUAUUUAUGUUUCUAUAUUGCUAUUAAUUAUAUUUUCAUAACACUAUACUAAUAUAUUUGAAUUUUGUUUACUGUACUACAGAACAAAAAAAUAUUUCUUAAAAUUAUUUCCAACUCUUUCAGUUUUCCUCAUUGCCUGUUCUUCAUGCAUGUAUCAAAGAUGAGUAAUCCCCAAGGAAAUGAGAGGUGGGAAGGAGGGAGGUACUACAGAAUGAAAAGAGCUAAAAUAUAAUUAAAUGCCAAAGAUUAUCUAAGCCAAGAAGGUAUCGUCCUGAAACAGAAAUCCCAGUAAGACUAUGAUAGAGCAAAACAACAGGAUGAAAAUCCACACAGCUUUAAAGGCUCUAGAGAAAAUAAACAAAUCUAAAAUAAUUUGUAGACAUCCUUGUCUAUCCUAGUCCAGUGGAUGCAAAGGCACCAAGCACAAAUUCAGGAGUUGUGGGAGAGUUCUUGCUUUGGGGAAUUCAGUAACAAGCCAUGUUUUGUUAUAUAAUGCAGCUUUGAGAAAUUGUGGAUGAAUAGCCAUUUGACUCAUUAUUUACUAAACAGGAUGCUAGUAAGAAAUAAACACCUAUUCUUUUUCUUCUCAUGGGUGUUUUCAGAGAUAAGGAGUCCAAAAGAGGGUGAUGGAACAAACUAAUAAAACAUAUUUUUAGAACAAGACAGAACCUACAUGUCUGUUCCUGAGCUGCUGAAAAAUGGCACUAUUUUUCCACAAAAUGCUUUUCUUCAUAAUUUGCUGUACUAAUUGCAGCAAUUGCUCUUUAUAGUGUGUCUUAAGUAGCAAAGAUGUGGCUGGGGGUGUGUAUUCUAUUGUCAUCUGUUAGAGGUGGGGCAGUUAUCUUCUGUUAAUUGGGACUACCUGUUCAAACCAGGUGGGGCAGUUUGCUUUAUCUCUUCCACAACCAAUUCUCCCUCUGGGAAAUAUCUUCUGUUAAUGGGCCAUUGAGUGUCACUGCAUGGCUGAUAAAAUUACAUCAUCCCAUUGGGAGAUGCUACACCCAGGGGGAGGAGCCAAACAUUCCUACCUGGAGACAAUUGGAGCUUUGGAACACCACAGGAAGCCUUCUCCCACUGGAUUCCCAGAGGAAGAUCAGACCCAUCUAUACCACCACUGGACCUUCAGAGGAAAACUCCACCCUCUUACAGGAUCACUGCUUUAACAGAACCACAUCUGUCACUGCAGGAGGGCUGCAGCCACCAUUUAAUGGGACUGCUACAACACCCUGACCCACAGGGUGUCAGGUUGUAUUCUGACUCUGUCAGUGUUGUUUUGUACUGCUGCAUUUUUAUAUUUCCUAAUAAAGAACUGUUAUUCCUCCCAUAUCUUUGCCUAAGAGCCCCUUAAUUUCAAAAUUAUAAUAAUGCAGAGGGAGAGAGUUUACAUUUUCCAUUUCAAGAGAGGCUCCUGCCUUCCUUAGCAGACACCUGUCUUUUCAAACUAAGAAACGGUGUAAGGUAUCUACGAUAUGAAGAAGAUGACUGAUGUCC